GACGAAGGGGGCUAGCGUUGUUCGGAAUUACUGGGCGUAAAGGGCGCGUAGGCGGUUCUUUAAGUCAGGCGUGAAAGCCCUGGGCUCAACCUGGGAGUGGCGCUUGAUACUGAGGAACUAGAGAGUGGGAGAGGUUGGUGGAAUUCCCAGUGUAGAGGUGAAAUUCGUAGAUAUUGGGAGGAACACCAGUGGCGAAGGCGGCUAUCUGGACGAACACUGACGCUGAGGAGCGAAAGCGUGGGGAGCGAACAGG
rnacentral:rRNA from 1 species